CUUUCCCAGAGAAAACGUCACUGGAGUUAGCCAACAUGAGGUCCCUGACGAGACAGUGGUUUUAGCGAAAUGCUGAAGGUAGAACGUGGAUUCCAUAAAUUUAAGAAUAAAGCGGCGACAACUUAAAAUAUGAAAGCAUUUCCAUAUGUUGUCUCAUUUGAUCCUUGAAAUAACCCCACAAAGGAGGCAUCAUCAUUAUUUUACACACGAGAAACAGGCUCGGAGAAGGUAAAUGGUUUACCUUAGCACACUCAGCAGAGAUGGAAAUGGAUAGGACCUUCGCCAAAGGCUGCACAGAUACAGAGAACAAGCCAGCCGCCUCCAGGGUCAACGACUGUGUACAUUUGGCUCUGCUACCAGAUAAUCAGUGGAGGGAGUAUCGUUAUCCGAUUCUAUGUGCAUGCAGAAGACUGCCCGGGAAAAUACAAC